UUAUAUAUGUCUACCGUGGUUGUAACGAGUACAGAGAAUCAGGGUUUGGUUCUGGAGAGGCCGCCUGAGAAACGGCGACCACUUCCAAGGAAGGCAGCAGGCGCGCAAAUUACCCACUCUCAAAAUGAGGAGGUAGUGAAGAGAAAUAACGAUGUUAGUCUUAUAUAGGCUGACAAUCGGAAUGGGAACACUGUAAACAGGUUAUCGAUUAACAAUUGGAGGGCAAGUCUGGUGCCAGCAGCCGCGGUAAUUCCAGCUCCAAUAAGGAAAACUAAAGUUGCUGUGUUUAAAAAGCUCGUAGUUGAAUCUCGGGUAUUUGUUUCUAGCUGGUCUCUAUGGCCAUGUUGGUUAACAGAUCCUCACUUGCUGGACGGCUGGCGAUGAUCUUUAUCGAUUGUCGUCAGUUGCCAGAACGUUUACUUUGAGAAAAUUAGAGUGCUAAAAGCAGGCUCACGCCUAAAUAUAUUGCAUGGAAUAAUGAAAUAAGAUCUCGAUUUUAUUUCGUUGGUUUUAGAAGUUGAGAUAAUGAUUAAUAGGAUCAGAGGGGGGCGUACGUACUGUGGUGUGAGAGGUGAAAUUCUUGGAUCGCCACAGGACGAACAGCAGCGAAGGCGUUCGCCAAGAAUGUUUUCAUUAAUCAAGAACGAAAGUUUGAGGUUCGAAGACGAUUAGAUACCGUCCUAGUUCAAACCAUAAACGUUGCCAACUGUCUUUUAGAUGCGGUUAUUUAUAUGACUCAUCUGGCGGAUCUCGAGAAAUCUAAGUUUUUAGGUUCCGGGGGAAGUAUGGUUGCAAAGCUGAAACUUAAAAGAAUUGACGGAAGGACACACAAGAAGUGGAGCCUGUGGCCUAAUUUGACCCAACACGGGAAACCUUACUCGGCCAGGACACUUUUAGGAUUGACAGAUUGAGAGCUCUUUCUUGAUUAGGUGGGUGGUGGUGCAUCGUCGUUCGUAGUUCGUGGAGCGAUUUGUCUGAUUAAUUUCGAUAACGAACGAGACUCCGGCUUACUAAAUAGUCUAAAGUUCGAAGGGACUUUUCAAGACUUCUUAGCAGGAUAAGUGGCGCCCUUUAAGCCACACGAAAUGGAGCAAUAACAGGUCUGUGAUGCCCUUAGAUGUCCGAGGCUGCACGCGCGCUACACUGGAGAGUUCAGAAUGUUUCUUCCUACUUCGACAGAAGCGGGUAACCAUGAAAUUCUCUUCGUGACUGGGAUCGGAGCUUGCAAUUAUUCUCCGUCAACGAGGAAUUCCUAGUAAGCACUAUUUCAUCAGAAUGUGCUGAUUAUGUCCCUGUCCUUUGUACACACCGCCCGUCGCUACUACCGAUUGAAUGUUUUAGUGAGAUCUUCGGCUUGGUUUUCCGAGCGGCUUUCGGGUCGUUCGGUUUAUAUCGAAAAGAUGCUCAAACUGGAUCAUUUAGAGGAAGUAAAAGUCGUAACAAGGUA
rnacentral:rRNA from 1 species